rnacentral:tRNA from 1 species
GAGGGUAUAGCUCAGUGGCAGAGCGCGUGCUUAGCAUGCACAAGGUCCUGGGUUCAAACCCCAGUGCCUCCU